rnacentral:rRNA from 1 species
UACGUAGGGUGCGAGCGUUAAUCGGAAUUACUGGGCGUAAAGCGCGCGUAGGCGGCUUUGCAAGUCGGGUGUGAAAUCCCCAGGCUUAACCUGGGAACUGCAUUCGAGACUGCAUUGCUAGAGUAUGGGAGAGGGAAGUGGAAUUUCCGGUGUAGCGGUGAAAUGCGUAGAUAUCGGAAGGAACAUCAGUGGCGAAAGCGACUUCCUGGACCAAUACUGACGCUCAUGUGCGAAAGCGUGGGGGGCAAACAGG